rnacentral:rRNA from 1 species
CCUACGGGUGGCUGCAGUGGGGAAUUUUGCGCAAUGGGCGAAAGCCUGACGCAGCAACGCCGCGUGGAGGAUGAAGGCCUUCGGGUCGUAAACUCCUGUCAGGGGGGACGAAGGCCGCGCAAGCGGUUUGACUGUACCCUCUGAGGAAGCCACGGCUAACUCCGUGCCAGCAGCCGCGGUAAUACGGAGGUGGCAAGCGUUGUUCGGAAUUACUGGGCGUAAAGGGCGCGUAGGCGGCUUGGCAAGUCAGAUGUGAAAGCCCCGGGCUUAACCUGGGAAUUGCAUCUGAAACUGCUUUGCUUGAGUCCUGGAGGGGGUAGUGGAAUUCCCAGUGUAGCGGUGAAAUGCGUAGAUAUUGGGAGGAACACCAGCGGCGAAGGCGGCUACCUGGACAGUGACUGACGCUGAGGCGCGAAAGCUAGGGGAGCAAACGGGAUUAGAUACCCGUGUANUC